rnacentral:tRNA from 1 species
GAGGGUGUAGCUCAGUGGUAGAGCGUGUGCUUAGUGUGUUCGAGGUCCUGGGUUCCAUCCCCAGGACCUCCA